GGCUCAAGGGAAUUGUGUGCUCAACUACAGUGUCUAGCAUGACUCAGGAAGAAGGAGCCUGCGUUGAACCCCGCCAGGAGAAAGCGGAGGGUGGGUACCAAGAGGGAACUAGGCUUUGCCUGAGAAGCGUGGGGACAGACCUGGGGUGGGAGAAGGGAAGUGCCUUUUGCACUUUAGCACUUGGUACUUUACCACUUUGGUUUCCACCCAGCAUCGAGUGGAUGCUCACAGCAACGCCCUGAUGUAGGCCAUCACUCUUUCUAUCUUAAGCUUACGUGUUGGGCGCCUCAGCCCUAGUUAUGAGAAGAUUCCCGUUGUGGCUUCUGAGUAGCCGAAUGCUGGGGAAAGCAACACUUGGUCUCUAAUUGUCGCCCCAACCCAAAAAGGACUAAUCCAGAAGAAGAAGAAGAAGAAGAAGAAGAAGAAGAAG